rnacentral:rRNA from 1 species
UACGGGGGGAGCAAGCGUUGUUCGGAUUUACUGGGCGUAAAGGGCGCGUAGGCGGUCAGCUCAAUUCAGUUGUGAAAUCCCCGGGCUUAACCUGGGAACCGCAUUUGUGACUGCAUAGCUGGAGUACGGCAGAGGGGGAUGGAAUUCCGCGUGUAGCAGUGAAAUGCGUAGAUAUGCGGAGGAACACCGAUGGCGAAGGCAGUCCCCUGGGCCUGUACUGACGCUCAUGCACGAAAGCGUGGGGAGCAAACAGG